CCUACGGGAGGCAGCAGUGGGGAAUUUUGGACAAUGGGCGCAAGCCUGAUCCAGCAAUGCCGCGUGAGUGAAGAAGGCCUUCGGGUUGUAAAGCUCUUUUGUCAGGGAAGAAACGGUGGGGGCUAAUAUCCUCCACUAAUGACGGUACCUGAAGAAUAAGCACCGGCUAACUACGUGCCAGCAGCCGCGGUAAUACGUAGGGUGCAAGCGUUAAUCGGAAUUACUGGGCGUAAAGCGUGCGCAGGCGGUUUUGUAAGUUUGUCGUGAAAUCCCCGGGCUCAACCUGGGAAUGGCGAUGAAGACUGCAAGGCUAGAAUCUGGCAGAGGGGGGUAGAAUUCCACGUGUAGCAGUGAAAUGCGUAGAGAUGUGGAGGAACACCGAUGGCGAAGGCAGCCCCCUGGGUCAAGAUUGACGCUCAUGCACGAAAGCGUGGGGAGCAAACAGGAUUAGAUACCCUGGUAGUCCACGCCCUAAACGAUGUCUACUAGUUGUCGGGUUUUAAUUAACUUGGUAACGCAGCUAACGCGUGAAGUAGACCGCCUGGGGAGUACGGUCGCAAGAUUAAAACUCAAAUGAAUUGACGG
rnacentral:rRNA from 1 species